rnacentral:rRNA from 1 species
UACGUAGGGGGCAAGCGUUAUCCGGAUUUACUGGGUGUAAAGGGAGCGCAGACGGCAGUGCAAGUCUGAAGUGAAAGGCGGGGGCCCAACCCCCGGACUGCUUUGGAAACUGUAUGGCUGGAGUGCAGGAGAGGUAAGUGGAAUUCCUAGUGUAGCGGUGAAAUGCGUAGAUAUUAGGAGGGACACCAGUGGCGAAGGCGGCUUACUGGACUGUAACUGACGUUGAGGCUCGAAAGCGUGGGGAGCAAACAGG